rnacentral:rRNA from 1 species
GUCCUUUUGAUUUUUAUUUAAGGUCUGACCUGCCCACUGAUUUAUUUAAUGGCCGCGGUAUUUUGACCGUGCAAAGGUAGCAUAGUAAUUUGUCUUUUAAUUGAAGGCUUGUAUGAAUGGUUGGACGAGAAAACUACUUUCUUUAUAAUAAAAUUGUUAAUUUUAUUUUUUAGUUAAAAAGCUAAAAUGUUGUUGUAGGACGAGAAGACCCUAUAGAACUUUAUAUUUAUUUUUUUAUUAAUAUUUUUGGUUAAUAAUAUAUUGUAUCUUUAUAAAUAUUUUGUUGGGGCGACAAGAAAAUUUAUUUAACUUUUUUUAUUAAUUUCAUUAAUUAAUGUAUAAAUGAUCCUUUAUUAUGGAUAAUUAGAAUAAGUUACCUUAGGGAUAACAGCGUAAUUUUUUUGGAGAGUUCUUAUCGAUAAAAAAGUUUGCGA